UCUCUUCUUCCUCCUUUAACUUCUUUCUACCAUAACUUUCAUUCUACAACUCCAAUUCUUGCGCCUUUUUCGCCAUUAGGAUCGUAGGAACGAGCUCUACAAGAAAGCGUGGUUUGGGAGAAUGGUGGUCGCUAGGCAGCUCAUUGAAGGUUGAGGAUUACUUUGGAGCUGUUAAGGUGAAGAAUCUACCUUGGGCUGAACCUACAGAGAACUCAGAGUAAUUUUUGGGUUGAAGUGGAAGUUGGGAAUUUCUGACUCUCUUGGAGCUCUACUGUGACGUUUGGUCUUCACGCCUUGGUUAGAGGUUUUCCUGUGUAUAUGUAUGUGAAUAUUGACGCGUGAGAACUCUGCAUCGUGUUUGGUUGCUAGUAUGCAUGUUAGGGAAAUGGAUUUGAUUAUUUACAGCAUGCCCUUCUUGUGAUACAAUUUAUACUUAAUUUGUGACCUGAGAGUGAAAGGAGCCGUGUGACUACCUUGGGGUUUCGAUCCCCUAAACCUCCGGAAGGGCUUGUACGGAUG